rnacentral:lncRNA from 1 species
GUCGUCGCCGUCGAAGGUCCGAAGGUGAGCUCUUUGUUUCUGUUUCAGCCGUGGUUUUUCGUGUGUGAGAGAGACUUCGUUGAGGGCGACUGAGAGGAACGUGAGGUCGCGUGAGAGAGAGAUUUCGUUGAGAGAUUGAAAGAAACGUGAGGUGAGGAGCGUUUGAGGGAUGGAGAGAGUGAAGGUGGGGAACGACGACUGAGGUUGAGAGUGUGAGAGAGAAGUGAGAUUGGAAAGAACGAAGACGACGGUCUGUUCUUUGUUUCCAUUUCUUUUUCUUUUUUUAAUUUAUUUUUAAACAAAG